rnacentral:rRNA from 1 species
CCUACGGGCGGCAGCAGUGAGGAAUAUUGGUCAAUGGCCGGAAGGCUGAACCAGCCAAGCCGCGUGAAGGACGAAGGUGCCAAGCAUUGUAAACUUCUUUUGUCAAGGGACAAAAUCAGGCUCGAGAGCCUGACCGAGGGUACUUGAAGAAAAAGCAUAGGCUAACUCCGGGCCAGCAGCCGCGGUAAGACGGAGGAUGCGAGCGUUAUCCGGCUUUAUUGGGUUUAAAGGGUGCGUAGGCGGACUGUUAAGUCAGCGGUAAAAGCCCGGGGCUCAACCCCGUCGUGCCGUUGAAACUGAUGUUCUUGAGUGGGCGAGAAGUAUGCGGAAUGCGUGGUGUAGCGGUGAAAUGCAUAGCUAUCACGCAGAACUCCGAUUGCGAAGGCAGCAUACCGGCGCCCAACUGACGCUGAAGCACGAAAGCGUGGGUAUCGAACAGGAUUAGAUACCCGUGUAGUC